AUACUUAACCUGGCAGGGGAGAUACCAUGAUCACGAAGGUGGUUUUCCCAGAGCAAGGCUUAUCCAUUGCACUCUGGAUGUGCUGACCCCUGCGAUUUCCCCAAAUGUGGGAAACUCGACUGCAUAAUUUGUGGCAGUGGGGGACUGCGUUUGCACUUUCCCCUG
rnacentral:snRNA from 1 species